rnacentral:misc_RNA from 1 species
GAAGAUUCACAUUUGCAAAUCAAGAUCUAAAAUCUCCAACAAAAAAAAAUCAAUAACCAUACUUUUAUUUGGAAGAACUAAUGCCAAAAUCCUCACAAAGGAGGGACCACCAAAAAAAUGGAGAUAAAAUAUAAUUCUUCUCACUGAAAAGAAGACAAAUAAAUUUAAAAUUAAUAAAUAAGAAUAAAUUUGAAAAUAAAUUCUCAAAACUCAUACACAAAUAUGAGAGUUAUUGGAAGAAAAUUUAUAAAAAUAAAAAAAGAGAGAAAAAGGCAGAGAAAGUAAUGAAAGCAAAACAAAUAAAGAAGAAAAAAAAGAUCUAAAAGAGGAAAGUAGGGGGGAAGGGCUGUCAAUUACAAGAAGCAAUCCCUCCUUUAAAUUUCAUAAUCGGUUGAGAGAAUUUUUACAGAGCGAAAUUUUAUUAGUGAGAUUAUUUUGUCUUUCUUAAUUUUAUGGUAAUCUUAUAUUGUUUUUUAAAGUUGCAAAAGCUACAUAGAAAUUUGGAAGGCCAAGAAACAAAAUAAUAGAGGCUGGUUAGGACCAUUCCAAUUAAUUAGUUUUAUGGUUGAAGGUUGAUUUCUGCAUUUAGAUUUCAGCCCCACUGUUAUUAAUGUGCAUGAAAAUGGUUGCAUUAUAAAUUUAAGACACAAACAUGUGGUACUUAUAUAAUUAAUAUAUGGAUUUCACUAUAUAUUUUAUAUUUUAGAUUUAUGAUGGACCAAAAUUAG